rnacentral:SRP_RNA from 1 species
UGGUCCCUUCGCAACGGCCAGUCGUAAACCCCGCCAGGCCCGGAAGGGAGCAACGGUAGCGAUGAAGUUGUGUGCCGAGGUGUGGCU